rnacentral:tRNA from 1 species
GUUAUUGUAGCUUACUAACAGCACAGCACUGAAAAUGCUGAGACGGUCUAUAAACCCAAUUAACA